CUGAGGGCUGUAACUCGCCCUCACGAAGCUGGAUUCCGUAGUAAUCGCUUGUCAACAUCAAGCGGUGAAUACGCCCCUGCUCCUUGCACACACCGCCUGUCAAGCCAUCCGAGUCGGGUUCGAGUGAGGGUUCCCUUCUUGGGGAGCUCGAACUGGAGCUUGGUAAGGGGGGCUAAGUCAUAACAAGGUAUCUGUAGGGGAACCUGCAGAUGGAUCACCUCCU
rnacentral:rRNA from 1 species